rnacentral:tRNA from 1 species
AUUUAAAUAGCUUAUGAAGAGCAUAGUAUUGAAGAUACUAAGGAGAUAUUAAGUAUCUUUAAAUA